ensembl:lncRNA
CCGUCACAGCCUGGGCCUUCUAGGCGCCUGUCAUGUCUACCCCUGCUUCCCCAGAAGCCACUGUCUUCAGAGCAGAUGCAAUGACCACCCCUGGAAGCCUUGGAGGUUGAUGGUUGCUGCUGCUGCUAAGUCUCUUCAGUCAUGUCCGACUCUGUGUGACCCCAUAGACGGCAGCCCACCAGGCUCCACUGUCCCUGAGAUUCUCCAGGCAAGAACACUGGAGUGGGUUGCCAUUUCCUUCUCCAAUGCAUGAAAGUGAAAAGUGCUAACAGAACCCUGGAUUUAUAGAUGCAUACACACCUUUUGACCUCUCCAGCUAAAAUUCGAAGUGGAAUUGAUCUGGUACAAUGCAAAAAUCAGCAUAAAGCCCGGACUGCUUCGAGGACAAAGGGAUCAGUAGAUACUGAAGAUGUCCUUGGUAGCAAGGCUGUCCCAGAGCUUCUGCAGUGGCCCCAAAAUACCAGGCUGUGUCCCUAUUAUGAGACUUGGAACAAACGUGAGGUGCUUAAUGGGAGAAGUUCAACACAACCAUCAGCCUUCAACUCCCUUUAUUUCUCAUGAUUGAGAUCUGCCAGGCGCAUUUCUUCAAAUGAAAAGUCUAAAUCCAGAGAACCGACAGUGACAAAUUGGAUUCAGUCUCAUUCUGUGAUACCGGCUGUGAUUUGCAGCUGUCCUCUCCUGCAACAUAUACAGGAGGAGUCUGAGCUUGUGUUUUUCUGCGGGCUGUCUGUCUGAAAUAAAUAAGGAAUGGGGAACAACCUCGACAACCUUUUCUACAGAAGCAUGAGGGCCAAUUUGCUUCUCCC